AACGACGCGAGAACGGAGGACU
rnacentral:miRNA from 1 species